ensembl:lncRNA
GCAAACUGUCCUUCCUUGACCUAAAUAAACAUACCCGCCUCCCCACCCCUUUGUCAUAACAUCCAUUGGGUGGAGCCUGCAUAUCCAGACACGCUCAUAAUGGGAAGGAAACCUGCCCCCCAGCACCAGUACUUGGGUGGGAAGCAAGAGACCCAGUGCUUCUCCUCUGGGAGGAGUUUCAACAGGUGAAAGUGAAGUCGCUCAGUCGUGUCCGACUCUUUGUGACCCCAUGGACUGCAGCCUACCGGGCUCCUCCAUCCAUGGGAUUUUCCAGGCAAGAGUACUGGAGUGGGUUGCCAUUUCCUUCUCCAGGGCUUCUUCCCAACCCAGGGAUUGAACCCAGGUCUCCCACAUUGUAGGCAGACGCUGUACUGUCUGAGCCACCAGGGAAGUCCUUGAACAGCACCGGGCACAACGUCUAGAGCGCCCCCCGGAUGUUUGUGGAGUGAAUCGAUCCGUUAAAAAAAGAGGCAGAGUGAAGGGAAGGAAGUGAAGAGGGAAGGAAGGAAGAAAGACCUCCGGGCGCACCAUCGGAUCUUACUGGAACAGGAAACGGUCCCUGCGGAAGCCAGCAGCUCACUUGCUCUGGGCAGGAAUGGGAGCUGGGCAGCUAGGUUGGCUGGCUCUCUCCUGCUGAUCACAAGCUCCGGCAGGCAAUUAUAUACGUCUUUGAUUAAUAAAAAAUGGAGCAGUGAAUGAAUACUUAAUCA